rnacentral:rRNA from 1 species
UUAAGAAUCUUGCGCAAUGGGCGAAAGCCUGAUGCAGCAACGCCGCGUGAGCGAUGAAGGCCUUUGGGUCGUAAAGCUCUGUCCUUGGGGAAGAAAAAAAUGACGGUACCCUUGGAGGAAGCCCCGGCUAACUACGUGCCAGCAGCCGCGGUAAUACGUAGGGGGCAAGCGUUAUCCGGAAUUAUUGGGCGUAAAGAGUGCGUAGGUGGUUUUAUAAGCGCAGGGUGAAAGGCAAUGGCUCAACUAUUGUAAGCCUUGCGAACUGUAAGACUUGAGUGCAGGAGAGGAAAGUGGAAUUCCUAGUGUAGCGGUGAAAUGCGUAGAUAUUAGGAGGAACACCAGUGGCGAAGGCGACUUUCUGGACUGUAACUGACACUGAGGCACGAAAGCGUGGGGAGCAAACA